CCUACGGGUGGCUGCAGUAGGGAAUUUUGCACAAUGGAGGAAACUCUGAUGCAGCGACGCCGCGUGAGUGAUGAAGGCCUUCGGGUUGUAAAGCUCUGUCGUAUGGGAAUAAAAAAAUGAAGGUACCAUACAAUAAAGGAUCGGCUAACUUCGUGCCAGCAGCCGCGGUAAGACGAGGGAUCCUAGCGUUGUUCGGAAUCAUUGGGCGUAAAGCGGGUGCAGGUGGCUUAGUAAGUCAAGUGUGAAAGCCCAGGGCUCAACCCUGGAAGUGCAUUUGAUACUGCUGAGCUGGAGUGCGAGAGAGGCUACCAGAAUUCCUGGUGUAGUGGUGAAAUACGUAGAUAUCAGGAGGAAUACCGGAGGCGAAGGCGGGUAGCUGGCUCGACACUGACACUCAGACCCGAAAGCGUGGGGAUCAAACAGGAUUAGAUACCCCUGUAGUC
rnacentral:rRNA from 1 species